ensembl:lncRNA
CGCAGACAGUCCCAUGACUGUCUCGCAGACAGUCCUACGACAGUCCCAUGACUGUCUCACGACUGUCCUUCGUCCCAUGGCUGUCUCGGACUGUUCCACCGACUGCCUCACACACUGUCCCACCAACUUUCUUACGUCUGUAAGACUGUCUCACCGACCGUCUUAGACUUCUCACGACUGUCUCGCAGAAAGUCCCACGACAGUCCCACGACAGUCCCACGACAGUCUCACGACUGUUCCACGACUGUCUCACGACUGUCCCACGACAGUCCCACGACAGUCCCACGACAGUCCCACGACUGUCUCACGACUGUCUCACGACAGUCCUACGACAGUCUCACGACUGUUCCACGACUGUUCCACGACUGUCCUACGACAGUCUCACGACAGUCCCACGACAGUCUCACGACUGUUCCACGACAGUCCCACGACAGUCUCACGACUGUUCCAUGACUGUCUCACGACAGUCCCACGACAGUCUCACGACUGUUCCACGACUGUUCCACGACAGUCCCACGACAGUCUCACGACUGUUCCACGACUGUUCCACGACUGUCCCACGACUGUCCCACGACUGUCCCACGACUGUCUCACGACUGUCCCACGACA